rnacentral:rRNA from 1 species
ACGAACGCUGGCGGCGUGCUUAUCACAUGCAAGUCGGAAGGAAAGGCCCUGCUUUUGUGGGGUGCUCGAGUGGCGAACGGGUGAGUAACACGUGAGUAACCUGCCCUUGACUUUGGGAUAACUUCAGGAAACUGGGGCUAAUACCGGAUAGGAGCUCCUGCUGCAUGGUGGGGGUUGGAAAGUUUCGGCGGGUGGGGAUGGACUCGCGGCUUAUCAGCUUGUUGGUGGGGUAGUGGCUUACCAAGGCUUUGACGGGUAGCCGGCCUGAGAGGGUGACCGGCCACAAUAGGACUGAGGUACGGAGCAGAGGGCAACGGGAGGCAGCAGUGGGGAAUAUUGUACAAUGGGCGGAAGCCUGAUGCAGCAACGCCGCGUGCGGGAUGAGGGCCUGCGGGGUGUAAACCGCUUUCGCCUGUGACGAAGCGUGAGUGACGGUAAUGGGUAAAGAAGCACCGGCUAACUACGUG